rnacentral:rRNA from 1 species
CCGGCACGGGUGAGUAACACGUAUGCAAUCCACCUGUAACAGGGGGGUAACCCGGAGAAAUCCGGACUAAUACCCCAUAAUAUGGGCGCUCCGCAUGGAGAGUCCAUUAAAGAGAGCAAUCUUGGUUACAGACGAGCAUGCGCUCCAUUAGCCAGUUGGCGGGGUAACGGCCCACCAAGGCGACGAUGGAUAGGGGUUCUGAGAGGAAGGUCCCCCACAUUGGAACUGAGACACGGUCCAA